AUGGCGGUCGCGAAGUCCAGUUCAGAAAAGAUCGCGAUGGUUUUUGCAGUUUUGUAUGCAAAAUAUGAUGUGUCAUGGGGUAACCUAUCCACGAGUGGAUACAUAAGGUAGUAUCUUGGCUAUGUACACCUUUACCGCUUGUUUGCAUGCUUGUGUAGAUUAGAUUAAUUGUAAAUACGGAUCUAGCAUUGUUACUUGCAUUCGACUGCACCAACGGGCACUGUUGCAAAGUGUUGGGUGCGGCCGAGGCAAAACAUGGUGUCAGUCCUCCUUCCAUCGGGAAAUAAGAGAGCAGGGUUUGUUAACACCGUGAAACACUACAUGUGAACCGGCAGAAUUCUUUUAUCGCCCAUUCAUCGUAAGUGGAUCCAGUGAUAAGUGUGGUUGGUUUGACCGUUUCCAGGCACGAAAGACAUCGAAACUGCAAUUCGGGAGAUCUGCCAGCCCAACAUGCAGGUCUCAAGUUAGUUGUAUGGUUUAAAUGGAACCACAGAGCAAAGGAAGCUGCAGUGUUACUGAUGUGAAGACACACAGUGGAACUCAAAACUGUCCAUACCAGUAAGUGACAGCACACCCGAGCCCAUGUCUCAGCGUCAAGAGUGAUUUUGCUGGACUUUUAAAGUUCACACUAUGCACAGCACUGUGAGCUCUGCCUUGGAAGUUCCGAGUAAAGGUUGUAUCACGAGCUUUCUGCAUGCCUGAACUGGAUGGGGGUGGAAUAUCUGCACUCAUGCAGAGGACACGGAAACUCUCACUCCCCAUGGGACAUUUCGACAGGCCUAUCUGGAGUCCAGUGUUCGCAGUGGAGGAGCGACGUCCCUUCUUCGCCGGAGCUACCUCUACCUCCUUGUAGAGCUUAUGAUGCUUAGACAGUGAACAAUCAUCCUCCUGAGGGGUGUUUCUCAUCCUCGGCCUUAACAGGCGGUAUGGCAGACUGCUCAGAAUGAAAGGACUGGUGGCAUGUGGAAAGGGUCAAGUAUGUGUGUUACCAGUCCUUGACGGAUUUCCAGUUCCCUGUUCUACCUGCUGAAAUAGUUCCAUGGCUGAGAAGUUGCCCUGCCACGCCCUGCCACGCCCUGCGCCACGCCACACCACGCCACGCUGGUGUGCAGAUGCUAGUUUGGUCAAUAACCCAGUCCCCCACUAGGCACACAUUUAUAACUCGCUUAGUUUCUUUGGAGAUAGGAGCUGGUAAAUCUUCAGUAGCCUGUUGUGAGUACCCUUAAACAGGGAACUUAGGUAAUAUCAGUUUCUUAGGAUUAGGGAGCCAUGUUGAGGGUGGGACCCCCCUUUCAGGUACUUAGGAUUAGGGAGCCAUGUUGAGGGGGUUUUACAUGACACGUGAUUCCUGCCUAUUUGACACAACAAUUUUCCAAAAGUCUUUCAAAAUAUUGUAUCUGAGUCAAGCUUGGACGCAGUUCUUAUGUGUGACCCUUAGAAUGCAGUUCAAUAAAAUCAACUCGAUAAACAAACAAUGAUAGAUUUCAGUGAUAGUUUGACAGAGCUGUCAGAUUGUUCCAGAGAACUCAGAGGAGACAUUUAUCCUGGCUGUUUGACAUUUGGUGGUGUGUCAUACACAGUUACAUGCUGAGAAUGAUUAACUCAAAUACCAUGCCAAUGAAGUGAUCUGGUCACAAAGUUCAGUAAAUAAUCUUACGUUUUUGACAUGCUAUAGGUCUUCAUGAAAUAAUUUCUUUUCAAUUUGCGUUACAAUGAAUAAAUCACAUUAUUUGUUCAGGA
rnacentral:lncRNA from 1 species